ACUCAGGGCAAGCCUGGCCUCCCAAAUGUUGCACGAGGGGACCACGACUCCCAACAUGCUGCACAGCCAAGGCGACCCCUACCGCAGCCUUUCUCCAGCGGGCUUCUAGACGAACCCCCUAGAGACCUUAGAGCCGAGGGAAGGCCGGGACGGAAAGCGGACUAAGCUGGCUUGAAGGACUAAUACCAUUGGAUGCCGCCCGCCAUGUGGCGGAGCGUGGUGCCUGCUGGGAGGUGUAGUCCUGGCGGGGGGUGGGGUUCCGCUCCCACGUUCCUGGGCUCGCUCUGCGCCCUGCCCCCUGCGCGGGAAAACGCCAACGGCUAGCAGCGAGAGCCUCGGCAAGGCGGAAGGUGCGCCCACUUUUAGUCUUUUUCAGUGCGGUUUUACUUUUGCCCUCCCAAGCCCCUUCUGGGUGAAAAGACUAGAAUCUACUGAACGCCUACUCCAAGUCAGCCGUUUAUUUCUGUUAUAUCAUAUAAUCAACUCCUUGAGUCCAGGAUUUUCCCUAUUUAAGGAUUUAAAAAAAGAACCUUAGAGUUGUUUGUUGACCGAAGAGACCCAGGUUUUCUGUCUUUAGAAAAUUAAUGACCUCCUCUCAAUAGGAUCUGACCUGUUGUCAACUCCAAGAAUUACGAAUAAAUAAGAUGAUGGUUUAUAAUUGUA
rnacentral:lncRNA from 1 species